rnacentral:rRNA from 1 species
AGAGUUUGAUCAUGGCUCAGGAUGAACGCUGGCGGUAUGCCUUAUACAUGCAAGUCGUACGAGAGUUUUUAACUCAAGUGGCGGACGGGUGAGUAACACGUAAGAAUUUGCCUUUAGGAGGGGGAUAACAACUGGAAACGGUUGCUAAUACCCCAUAUGCUUUCGAGUGAAAUGGAUUUCCGCCUAAAGAGAAGCUUGCGGCUGAUUAGCUUGUUGGUGGGGUAAUGGCCUACCAAGGCGACGAUCAGUAUCUGGUUUGAGAGGACGAUCAGACACACUGGAACUGAGACACGGUCCAGACUCCUACGGGAGGCAGCAGUAGGGAAUUUUCCGCAAUGGGCGAAAGCCUGACGGAGCAAUACCGCGUGAGGGAUGACUGCCUAUGGGUUGUAAACCUCUUUUUUCAGGGAGGAACAAAAUGACGUGUACCUGAAGAAUAAGCAUCGGCUAACUCCGUGCCAGCAGCCGCGGUAAGACGGAGGAUGCAAGUGUUAUCCGGAAUCACUGGGCGUAAAGCGUCUGUAGGUGGCUUGAUAAGUCAACUGUUAAAUCUUGAAGCUCAACUUCAAAAUCGCAGUCGAAACUAUCAGACUAGAGUAUAGUAGAGGUAAAGGGAAUUUCCAGUGGAGCGGUGAAAUGCGUAGAGAUUGGAAAGAACACCGAUGGCGAAGGCACUUUACCGGGCUAUUACUGACACUCAGAGACGAAAGCUAGGGUAGCAAAUGGGAUUAGAUACCCCAGUAGUCCUAGCCGUAAACAAUGGAUACUAGGUGUUGAACAGAUCGACCUGUGCAGUACUAAAGCUAACGCGUUAAGUAUCCCGCCUGGGAAGUAUGCUCGCAAGAGUGAA